UAGAGAAAUGGAACCGCAGAAAAAACAGAGAAAGCGCGGAAAGUACAAAAAGUAUCUAAAUCCAAGCAGUGCCUUCAGUGUGCCCAGAUAAACAGACUCAUCAGCCAGGCUGCGGCUCGCUAAAGCUGAAUCCCUGAAAGAUGGUUCACACCAUGCAAGUUCGAAUGAAGAUCCACUGGAUGCGCGGCCACCUGUCGGUCACAUGGAGUACACGGCACCGCAAAAUGCUACAUCGACGGAUGUUGUGUUGGCAGCGGACAACGCUAUGCAGCAUGAGAAUAACGGCGACGAUUCAACAAUGGGCAGUGAUUCCAACGGAGUGAGCAGCCUAUGUUCUAGAACGCUGACAUCUCCGCAACCAGCCACUCUGGGUGAUCGAAGUGGACAAGUGAAAGAUCUGCAUGAGGUAGACGAUGGAGGUGAUUACAGUGGAGACUGUGCAACCACUGUGUGUGAUCCAUGCGAUGUAAAUCACUUGAUCAGUGAUGAUGAAAACACAACAGAUUUUGACAGUUGUGAUGACACAACUGACCUUACAACUAUGGGUACUCAACACGAUACUAUGAACAGCGUGACACAGGCCGUGUUUCCAUCUGAAUGUAACAGUGAAGUGGGUGAUGUGGUUGAUGGCAAGGACAAUGAAGAACCUCUCAAUGGAAACCUGUCAACUGAUGCCGACACAAGCAGAACACAGCUUGGAGAUUUGUUUCAGGAGGUCUUGAACGAAAAGCUUGUCGUUCCCAAAGGCGAGAUGCUUUUAAUGGUAUUUAAACAUGCCGUAAAAAGUAAUUUGUCCUUUACA
rnacentral:lncRNA from 1 species